rnacentral:rRNA from 1 species
AUUGAACGCUGGCGGCAGGCCUAACACAUGCAAGUCGAGCGGAUGAAGGGAGCUUGCUCCUGGAUUCAGCGGCGGACGGGUGAGUAAUGCCUAGGAAUCUGCCUGGUAGUGGGGGAUAACGUCCGGAAACGGGCGCUAAUACCGCAUACGUCCUGAGGGAGAAAGUGGGGGAUCUUCGGACCUCACGCUAUCAGAUGAGCCUAGGUCGGAUUAGCUAGUUGGUGGGGUAAAGGCCUACCAAGGCGACGAUCCGUAACUGGUCUGAGAGGAUGAUCAGUCACACUGGAACUGAGACACGAUCCAGACUCCUACGGGAGGCAGCAGUGGGGAAUAUUGGACAAUGGGCGAAAGCCUGAUCCAGCCAUGCCGCGUGUGUGAAGAAGGUCUUCGGAUUGUAAAGCACUUUAAGUUGGGAGGAAGGGCAGUAAGUUAAUACCUUGCUGUUUCGACGUUACCAACAGAAUAAGCACCGGCUAACUUCGUG